CGGAGAGUAUUUGCACUCGGAAGGGCAAAGAUGAAUGUUGAAUAAUCGGACAUAGUGCGAUAAGGUUGUAUGUCUAAAGGGAAACAGCCCAGAACAAGAGUUAAGGUUCCAAAAUUAUUGUUGAGUGAAAUUAAGGAUGUUUUUGUUUAAUACAAUCAGGAAAUAGGCUUAGAAGCGGCCAUUUUUUGAAGACCUCGUAACAGAGCACUGAUUAAUUUUUUAGAAAAAAACACCGAAAAUUUAACGGAUCUAAACAAUAUACCGAAACCUUGUACACAUUAAUAUAAUAAUAAUAUUGUAUAUGUGGGGUAGCGGAACAUUGGAUAAAUAUUAAUUAUUAUUUCUUAUUUAAGAAAUAAUAAAUAUGGAUUAUUAAUAAACUAAAUAAAAUUAAAUUAAUCCAUUAAUAUAAUCCAAGAGAGAAUGCUGACAUGAGUAACGAAAAAGGAAUAUCCUCGCCUUAAGCUUAUGGUAUUUUAUUUAAUUUUCGGUAUCUAAAUAUAUUAAUCAAAAGGUAAUUUUGAUGAUAUUUUUAUAAAAAAUACUUAAUAGUAAAAAACAAAACCUUUAAUAAGUAAUAAAGGUUCUGGAAAAUUUUUUACUUAAAAUAAAAUAUAUGUAAACUAAUAGUCUUAUGAAUAAAGCUCAAUAUGUUAUAUUGUAUUUACUAUCUAAUUUCUUGUUACAAGUUUUCAAGAUUACAUAGUUUAAAUAGAAUGUAAUAGAGUUUUAUAAAAAAAAAAGAUAUAUUUUAUUUUUAUAUUUUACAUUAUUGUAUAUAUUAAGACUAUUAUACAAAUAUAUAAUGUAAAUAUAAUAAGGUUUUUCUAUAUACCGUACCUAGAUACUAUCACAAGUAAGCAAGUAGAGAAUACAAAGGCGUUUGAGUGAACAAUCAUUAAGGAACUCGGCAAAUUGACUACCGUAACUUCGGGAUAAGGAGGGCCAUUAUCAUUAGUUUAACAUACCUUACAGGUAUGAUUUAAUUAAAUUAAGGAUAAGAGGAAACAUAAAAUAAUGUUGUACGACUGUUUAAUAAAAACACAGCACUCUGCAAAGAUAAAAUAUCAAAGUAUUGAGUGUGAUGUCUGCCCAAUGUCGGCUGGAUAACGGAUUUACCUUGGUUUUUAACUGAGGUUUUGAAGGAUACCCCGAUUAAUGGCGGCCUUACCUAUGAGGGUCCUAAGGUAGCGAAAUACCUUGGCCGUUAAAUGCGGUCCUGCAUGAAUGACUUAACGAUACAACAGCUGUCUCGAUGAUUGUCUCAGUGAAAUUGGAAUAGCAGUGCAGAUACUGUUUACCUCUAGAUAGACGAGAAGACCCUAUGCAGCUUUACUGU
rnacentral:ncRNA from 1 species